rnacentral:rRNA from 1 species
GACGUGAGGGGCGAGCGUUGUUCGGAUUUACUGGGCGUAAAGGGCGCGUAGGCGGUCAGCACAAGUCGUUGUGAAAUCUCCGGGCUUUAACUCGGAAAAGUCAACUGAUACUGUGACGACUAGAGUGCAGAAGGGGCAACGUGGAAUUCUACUGGUGUAGCGGUAGAAAUGCGUAGAUAUCGAGAGGGAACACCUGGCGGC